AAGGAAUACAAACAAAACUUAUACAAAGCCGACUGUUGCAAUUCCGCAUACAACAAGACAAACGACAUAUGUGUACAAAAACAAACAUCGAUACAGAUAUAGACAAAGAUGUACCAACAAAACUAAUACAAGGACGACUGUUGCAAUUCAACAAACGACAAGAAAACCAAAAUCCUUAACAUACUCUAUUAACUCAAGAGAAAGAAACCGAGAGUCCGACGCAAACAAGACAAAUUCACCAUUUAUUGGUUUUAUACUGGGAUUAGGAAUACCAUCGAUAAUUCUCUUAGCAUGUUUUGUACCUGCGUAUGUAAUGUGUAAAUGUUCAACUAGUGUUAAAAAGAUGAAAACUACACGCAAGAUAUUACACAAAUUGUCAGCUCAACAAGAGGCAAAUGAAAUACCGCCAUACGCUGUUGCAUAUGUACGUUUGCAAAAAGGCAAAUAUGCUACUGUGGUAGCAUCAAACAAAAAACAAGCCUUCCAUUUUGAUGACGCAGAUAACAGUGAUGACGUAAAUGGCCAUACAGCAACGUUUCUUGACGGUUAUAAGACAGAAUCAGUGUUAUGUAUCAAUGAUGAAAGGGUUGACGAACAAUUUGAACAUCCAAACAAUAUUCCAAAAGUCGAUUCUCCUACAUAAUAGGAGGCAACAUCUUAAAUAAUUGCCUUUAUGAUAUAUCGUUGAAAACAAUUUCUUUGCGCAUACUCCAAAUGUUUGUGAUUAUCACUAGGUUGUAUCAUCAAAUUACACCUUAUUAUCUUUAAAAACGUAUUCAUCCUCGCCUUUGUGACAAAAAAUUAUUAUUGGAAUAGUUCCAAUCUCAUUAUCUCUAUAUAUCAAAAUUUCUAGUCGAAAUAUUUGUUCUUAUAUUUUGUAUGUUUGUCAUACAUUGUCAGAUAUAAAAAAUUUAAAAAAAAAUGAAUGGGUCUAUGAAUACCCAUGCUAAAUCAAUCUCUAAAGAUCCUAAUUUUACAAAAUACCUGUCUUACAUCCAUGAAAAAUCUGCUGUUGUCUCCGCAGAUAUAAUCCCAAACAACAUCGUUUUUGUGUGAAUAUCACAUUAUAUAAACUGCUUGAUAAAUGAACUAUGUAUUGACAAUUCACUCGGAUAUUCAACAUAAACCACCAUGACACUUACCAAGUAGGAAAUCGUUGAUAAAUAUAGGUCUGUUCUAAGUUCCAUUGUAAUGGCAACCAAAGACGAAGAACUGAAUCUUUCAUCGCUGUAUUGUAUACCCAAACUACACAAGUGUCCUUACACACGUUAUAUUUUCUUCCAAGUGCUCCACGAAACCUCUUUCUAAAUUAUAAUUAUAAACAUCAGUCUUAUCAUUAAUCACAACCAGGCUUCAAAGUUAUAUUGACACUACCUAUUCUAGAGGUGGCGUAUAUCAGAUAUGGAUAAUAAAAAUCAAAUGAUCUUUAACAGUAUAUACAAUCCAAGCCUCCUUAAUCUUGCAAAACUAUUAAAACAUUUGACUUUUCUACACUUUACGCAAAUAUUUCCCAUUCCAAACUUAAAGACAAAUUGUGACAGAGUUGGACCUACUUUGUGUCAUACAAAAUAACUGGCCAACGUAGAUACACGUAUCUUGUCUCAGGGAGGGAUAAAUCGUACAUUUUAAAAACAUCACUCUGAUUAAAAAAAAUCUCUGAAACUGAUAUUAUCAAAAUGCUUGAUUUCAUGAUUGUCAACUUAUUUGUUCUGAUUGGAGGUAAUGUUUUCCAAUAAACAAUA